GGAGACAACAUCUUUCUCACCAUUUUACAACACAAUCGUAAAUUCACAACACAGCAUUUUACUGCUGAGUUACAAGUGUUGGAGACAAUCAGUCCAGCCAGAACCACUCAUAGAAUGGAAAAGGACAAGUUUUCUGCUUCCUGAGUUCUGGAAAGGUCAAUGUGUAUUAAUCAUGGUUGUUCUUUGAUAAACAGAGCAUCUGUUAGCUGUGGAUGCAAGAGGAGACCUGAAUGACCUGUGGCCUUGAAGGAGGCAUGUGCAGCUAUUGAGGUCUGGCCUGUACCCAGAGACUGUGCUCUCCAAAGCUGUCUGGAGUGGACACUGGGUCCUGUGGCUCUCAGCUGGGGCAGUGUCAGCUUAACACAGUGGGUCAGCUUGGCGAAGAGGUCAACAAGUGAAGCACUUGUUGCCUACCUGUGUGAUGGACACAGCUCAUGCUGGAGCUGCCUUGUUACUUGUAGCUGGGUGUGACAUUUUUGCAGUGACUAGAGAAAGCCAGAAGGUUUUAGUUUGGGGUGCACCAUUUUUGCCAGUGGUCCACACUGCAUGCCUUGUAUUUGUGAGCCAAGGCACCAUUUGAUCUUUCAGGCAAGACUCUGCAGACAGCUACGUCCAGCAUCAUGGCAAGCACAGAGACUGUUCAGAGAUGGAAGAGGGAACAGACUAUUGCAAAAGCUCAUUUUAUUAUGGGGCUUCCUACUCCCCUUUGUGCUGCUUCUCCCUCUGAAUUCAGCCUUCUCUAGCAUAUAUUUCUGCUCACCUCUUGGGUAUGCUUUUCUCCAGUCUCACACUCCUUUUUGAGAAAGAAGACAGAAUGAAACAAAUUUAUUCUACUUCCAUUCAGUCAGAACCAUUGUUGGAAGGAUGAGAAUUCAAGCUCUUGCUUACAACUGGUAAAUGUAGACCGUGACCUCAGGGUACAGCUUAGUGCUCUGCACGUUACUGACCAAUGCUGCUGUUGCUGAGUGCAGCUGCUGACUUAGCUUCUUUCCUUGCUUGCUUUGCAUGAAAAACUUUUUUGUAACUGUUCUGUAACCAUCUUAUUCCUAGACUUCAGCACAUAUAUCUGGAAACACAACUGUCCAGGCAGAUUCUUCUUCUUGGGUCUCUAGAGAGAUUUUUAUAUCCAUAUCACCUCUUACGCUGCCACUAGGA